rnacentral:rRNA from 1 species
UCCUACGGGGGGCAGCAGUGAGGAAUAUUGGUCAAUGGGCGGGAGCCUGAACCAGCCAAGUCGCGUGAGGGAAGAAGGUCUUCGGAUCGUAAACCUCUGUCAGCAGGGAAGAACGGUCACUGUGCUAAUCAGCAGUGAAUUGACGGUACCUGCAAAGGAAGCACCGGCUAACUCCGUGCCAGCAGCCGCGGUAAUACGGAGGGUGCGAGCGUUAAUCGGAAUUACUGGGCGUAAAGCGUUCGUAGGCGGUAUGUCAAGUCAAGGGUGAAAUCCCCGCGCUCAACGUGGGAACUGCCUUUGAAACU